UACUUCGUGUACAAAAUUUGGUGUAUACAUUGGACCAUAUAUAACCGAUGAUACACCAAAUUUUGUACACGAAGUAUACG
rnacentral:sRNA from 1 species